CCACCAUCUCUUCCUUUUAGAGUUUGCCAUCUCCGUACCACCACCACCACCACACACAGCACCCUCAAGACUCCCUGUGAUCCUGGGAUGCACUCAACGAAGAGUGUGUGGCCCAGGAUUUGAUGGAAAUGCUACAAGAGAAGCAGGCUCUCCCCUUCUGAAAUGAUGAGUGAUAAUGACCAUACAGGUCAACUUUUCCACCACUUGGAGGGAGCCUGUCAAAGAACAAAGGCAACAGAGAAGAGAGCAGAGCUGAGGUUGGGUGAGAGGGAGAAAUUCCUGAGUGCUUGAAUCCCACAUGCCGGAAGCCGCACCACACUUGGACUUCUCAAUACAGGAGCCACUCUGCAGGCAUUUAUUGGCAGGCUACACCUAAGACUUUCUCUGCAGAAAAAUGUUCUAGAUGCACAGAUUUGGGGGCUUGAUUGACAACCUGACACCUCACUCUAAAUCCGCAUGGGUCUGUUGACCUCAGGGAAUAUGCCCUAGACACAGCCCUACAAUCGACCCUGUGCUGACCUGGUGAUCCUCCCACUUCUUCCCAAAAUAAUUCCG
rnacentral:lncRNA from 10 species